rnacentral:rRNA from 1 species
UACGGGGGGGGCAAGCGUUGUUCGGAAUUACUGGGCGUAAAGCGCGUGUAGGCGGCUCUUCAAGUCAGCCGUGAAAGCCCCGGGCUUAACUCGGGAACUGCGUUUGAUACUGUCGAGCUAGAGUGUGGAAGGGGCGAUUGGAAUUCCGUGUGUAGCGGUGAAAUGCGUAGAUAUACGGAGGAACACCAGAGGCGAAGGCGGCUCACUGGCCCGGUACUGACGCUGAGGUGCGAAAGCGUGGGGAGCAAACAGG